UAAGCCAGUAUUUCUCAAACUUCAUUGUGCAUGCGAAGCACCUGGAGAGAUUGUUCCUAUUUAUACUUUUGAGUCCCAGCUACAAACAUUAUGUUUCAGUCUAUCUGGGGGCAGGCCUGGGAACUUGCAUUUAUAAUAAGUGCCCAGGUGACUCUGAUGCAAGUGGUUCAAGGACAUGCUUUGAGAAAUUCUGCUGUAAGCAACAAAACUAUUAGUUUAGUACAGGGAAGAUGUGGCCAGGUUCUCCUGCCCUCACUACAGAGAAAUGGACAUUAGAUGUGGUCAAGGCAUCUCUUGAACAAUGGGUCUCAAUUCCAACUGCAUAUUUUAAUCACCUGGGGGAAGUUCUUUAAAAAUACAAAGGUCUGGAACACAUCUCCAGAGAUUUUGAUUGAAGUGAUGUGGGCAUGGAACUCUGGUUUCCCAGGUAAUUCAACCUCCAUGCCUUGCCUUCUCCCCCCUCUCCAGUCUAAGACAUUGCUAUUUCAAGUGUGGUCUCUGGCUAGACAGCAUCAGCAUCACUUGGAAUGUUGCCAGAAUGAAGAAUCUCAUGCACUGCCCUUGAACUAGUGAAUCAAAAUCUGCAUCUUAACAAAAUUCCCUGGUGGUCUUGAAGACCCUAGAAUUACUCUGAGCUACAGUCCAGAGGUUCUCAGAGACCAAGGAUUUCCACGCAUUUGGGGGCGCACAGGAAAAGUGAGAGGUCAGAGGAUCCUGCAUAUUUUUGAGCCAGUUACCAAGAAGAGAUUUGGGACAGGUAAGCAAAACCCACCCAGAAAGAGUGGCCAGCUAGGAGGAAAUUAGAGGAGCCAAUAUGAUUAUUAUUUUCUCAGUGACUCUUGGCUUGGCUUAUGAUAAGCCCUUCUGGUGUUUUGGAUUUUGUAUGGAUAUUUUCAGUAGCUAUAUUAUUAAAACACACAAGUCUAUAAUUAUGGGCAUGCAUAUCCUCAUCCCUCAAAUAUGUACUGAGCAUGCACAAUGUUCCUGGUUCUACGCCACAUGCUGAGUUACAAAAACCACCAAAGCUCAAUUCCUGUCCUCAAGGUGCUCUUUACAGUGGGAGAAACAGACAUGAAAAUAGGGACUUAUUUACAGAGGAAGGAGCAAACAUCUGUGAGAAGGUAAAGAAGAAAGUGAUGGCCUAAAGCUGGGAAAGGCUUCUCAGAGGAGGUGAUAUGAGCUCAUCACAGAAAAAAACACUUGCUUCCCUGAGGUAGCAUAUGCUUGGAGAUUUUUUAAGAUGACCCAGGAAGAAAAAUGAGCAUUCUCAACAGUUACACACAUACACACACACAGAGAGAGAGAGAGAGAUAGCCCCUCACCUAUCAUCUUCUCAAUUUAAGUAAAGAAAUAAACAAACUGAAAGCUGAUGGGAAAAUAUUGAACCUGGACCAGACGUAAGUGUGAGGAAGCUAAUGUCACAGGGGCUCCUAAACCAUAGAUGUCCCAAAUUCCCUGCCUACUAAAGGUGAGAGAUUUCCAAAAUGCUAUUGUACACACCAAAAAACAGAUCAGCUAAAGGGUAGCAGUAUGGAUAAAAAAAUUUUUUAAAUAAAAAAAAAUAAGAAGAAGAGGAAGGGACAGGGAAGAGGAACAUUGUUUCCUUAGAUAAUGAUCACUCCCUUUACCUUUUUGUUCUUAUUCAAGAGCCCUCCCAAACCUGGGAUGUCCCAGAAUUUGGUGCUACUGGGCAGCUGGCCUCCUCCUCAUCCCACUGAUGACAACUGUGAGGAAAUCUGGGAGACUAUUAAAAAAAUAAUAUUCUCUACAAGGAGGCAAAUAAUACCAGUAGGACUGGCCAUGAAUGUCCACUUCUGUGUGUUCAUGGAUAUCAUUCGGUUUGAAAUACUGAGAUUUCUUCUCACAUAUGCCAGCACAUUAGAGCCUACACUAAAUCUAUAAAUCUUUAUCUAGGUUGAUUGAGUUUUUCAAUUCAUGGAGUUGUUUUUAGGCAGAACAAGAAUUCAACUUUUCUCCUGUAAAAUAUAAAAAAUUCAGCUACAAAUGGAGCUAUUCUGUUUUCUGCUUCUCCUCUGGAGUUGUCUCUCUUCUGGAAGCUCUGGAAAAGAAAUAGCUGUCACAUUCAUAACAGCCUUACAUACUUCCUUCUCUGUAUUAGUCAACUCUGCUGUGGUAACAAAUAGCACCAAUAUCUCAGUAGCUUACGCAAUGAUCAUUUACUUUUUGCUCCUGCUUUUACUGCAGAUUGGUGGCUAUGAGGUGGCGACUAAGCUCUGCUCCCUGUGUCCUCCCAUUCCAGAAUCCAGAGUAAAAGAUAAUUCACUAUUUGGGACACACUGUUUUCAUGACAGAGGAAAAAGAGCAAGAGAGCUGCUGACAGAAACUCCAGAUGCUCCUUAAAGCUUCUGCUCAGUCAUGGCACACACCAUGUCCACUCACAUUCAUUACCCAAAGCCCUUCCAUGGUCAAGCCCAGAAUCAAGUGGGCAGGGACUCACCCCCCAUCCCCCACAGAAGCUACUGAAAGACACACAGCAACAGGCAGGAAUUGAUAAUCUUCUCAUAUAGAAGGGGGAAUCAAUUAUUUCAGAACAAUAAUACAACUUACCAUUCCUUUAGACUCCACCCAUGUAACUUAUAUCCAGUAUAGGGAUUUUCUCCCCACGUCAACUAAAAAGAAAUGUGAUAUGAUUUUUUUUUUUUUGCCCUCUUAGGAUUGUUAUUAAGCCCUGUGCAACAUUUGCCAAAUCAUUCUUCAGAAUAUUACUGUCCCCUGAGAUGUUAACAGUUAUUAAGCAACUAAAAAGGAUUCCCUGGUCAAAUAAGUUUGGAAAAUGUUCUAUGUUAAUAGCCCUCUCGUAAUACUCACAAUUCUGUAUUAUCAGAUUAAAUGUUCUCGAUGAUGCCUGCUGUAGAGAUAGCUACUUAACCCAAGAUUGGGAUCAUAGAUUUCUUUCCAGAAUGGCAGAAUCAUUAAUAUCUCAUGAGAUUCCAGUGACUAACAUUGCCCUAAAGGAUUACAGGAGAACCACCCGGAUGGAUUCUUGUUGCUUCUUCAUUUCUGUGCAUCCAGACUGAAGGACACUGAAUGAUGUUAAGAGGAGGUAUGCAUGAAGCCAACACAUCUGUACAGGACUCCUAAAGAAGGCUUGUGUUUUUGGCUAAGAUCAAACCCUGUGUGAGAAACUUGAAAAUGCUGAUUUGGAUACUACUCUUUGCCUACUGAAUUAAGUAUAAACACAUUAGACUGGC